rnacentral:rRNA from 1 species
UACGGAGGGAGCUAGCGUUGUUCGGAAUUACUGGGCGUAAAGCGCACGUAGGCGGCUUUGUAAGUUAGAGGUGAAAGCCCGGGGCUCAACUCCGGAAUUGCCUUUAAGACUGCAUCGCUUGAAUCCGGGAGAGGUGAGUGGAAUUCCGAGUGUAGAGGUGAAAUUCGUAGAUAUCUGGAGGAACACCGGUGGCGAAGGCGGCAUCCUGGACCGGUAUUGACGCUGAGGCGCGAAAGCCAGGGGAGCAAACGGG